rnacentral:rRNA from 1 species
UACAGAGGAGCCAAGCGUUGUCCGAAGUUACUGGGCGUAAAGAGUACGUAGGUGGCUUGUUAAGAUACAUCUGAAAGGUGACAGCUCAACUGUCAAUGGUGGUGUAAGACUGGCAGGCUUGAGGCAAGCAGAAGAGUGUGGAACUCCGAGUGUAGCGGUGGAAUGCGUAGAGAUUCGGAAGAACACCCAUGGCGAAGGCAGCACUCUGGGCUUGAACCGCAAGGUGAACCUGACACUGAGGUACGAAAGCCAGGGGAGCGAACGGG